CAGUGGGGAAUUUUGGACAAUGGGGGCAACCCUGAUCCAGCAAUGCCGCGUGAGUGAAGAAGGCCUUCGGGUUGUAAAGCUCUUUUGUCAGGGAAGAAACACCGGCUCUAACACAGUCCGGGAAUGACGGUACCUGAAGAAUAAGCACCGGCUAACUACGUGCCAGCAGCCGCGGUAAUACGUAGGGUGCAAGCGUUAAUCGGAAUUACUGGGCGUAAAGCGUGCGCAGGCGGUUAUACAAGACAGGCGUGAAAUCCCCGGGCUUAACCUGGGAAUGGCGCCUGUGACUGUAUAGCUAGAGUGUGUCAGAGGGGGGUAGAAUUCCACGUGUAGCAGUGAAAUGCGUAGAUAUGUGGAGGAAUACCAAUGGCGAAGGCAGCCCCCUGGGAUAACACUGACGCUCAUGCACGAAAGCGUGGGGAGCAAACAGGAUUAGAUACCC
rnacentral:rRNA from 1 species